UACAGAGACUGCAAGCGUUAUUCGGAUUCACUGGGCGUAAAGAGCGCGCAGGCGGUCGUUCAAGUCGCGUGUGAAAGCCCCCGGCUCAACUGGGGAGGUCACGCGAUACUGAUCGACUCGAAGGCAGGAGAGGGUAGUGGAAUUCCCGGUGUAGUGGUGAAAUGCGUAGAUAUCGGGAGGAACACCAGUGGCGAAGGCGACUACCUGGCUGUUCUUGACGCUGAGGCGCGAAAGCAUGGGGAGCGAACAGG
rnacentral:rRNA from 1 species